CGUUCCAAGCUCCGGCACCACAAUGCAGCUGUACAAGUACCCAUAGGAUUAGAAGAGGAGUUCGAGGGUCUUGUUGAUCUUGUAGAAAUGAAGGCUUAUAAGUUCGAGGGUUCUAGUGGAUUUAGUCAAUGAGAAGCGACGUGAACUUAUUGAAGUUGUUUCCGAAGUAGACGAUCAGCUUGCUGAAGCUUUUCUAAAUGAUGAGCCAAUAACAGCUAAUCAGCUUAAGGCAGCUAUUCGAAGAGCAACAGUGGCACGGAAGUUCAUACCAGUUUACAUGGGAAGUGCAUUCAAAAAUAAGGGUGUUCAACCACUUCUUGAUGGUGUGCUGGACUAUCUACCAUGCCCAUUGGAGGUUGACAACUACGCCCUUGAUCAAAACAAAUCGGAAGAGAAGGUAUUAUUGGCUGGGACUCCAGCUGAGCCACUUGUUGCAUUAGCGUUUAAGCUAGAAGAAGGCCGUUUUGGUCAGCUGACAUAUCUAUAAG